UAUUAGGCAGACUAUAAGAGGGACCAGGAUCAAAUUGUUGCCCCCUCUUUUCCAGUUCAUGCAUGACUGCUUUGCCCCUAUUACCUGUACUGUCCAACUGCUCAUCAUCUGUAAUACCAACCAUAUGUGCUGCAACAAUUUGGUUUUCUGACUCUUUUGGCUCACUAUUCCCUGCAUUUUGAAUGCUAACGUCCUGAGUUGCCUGCACUUCAUGUCCAGCUGAUUCUUCAGAGCCAACUUGUUUAUUCUGCACUUCAUCAUUGGACACAGUCUUCUUAACAAUCCACUCCUUCUUAUUGUGCUUCCCCUGAUAAGUGUUCCUGCUUUGCAGAUUCUUUCUUUCCCCUUGCUCCUGUUUUU
rnacentral:lncRNA from 1 species